CGUCCCCUGCGGUGAACGACAGCGCGCCCCCAGCAAUGUGCCUUGUUCCUAAUGUACGACCUGGGGCCGGCGGUUACCGGGUCCUUGUGCAAGUCCGCCGCGUGCGGAAAGCCUGAAAAUCCGGCCAGCCUGCCCACUUGAUCCUCGGGAUCAGGGUCGCUCGGCGCGCAUCGUCACUGCGGAGGGCGC
rnacentral:other from 1 species